rnacentral:lncRNA from 1 species
UGGGAUCAAUGAUUCAAUAUCAAACAACAUCGAACAUCAACAAAAUCAUCCAAACAAAUAGAACAAUGAUAAUAAAUCACAUCCAUAAUCACAUAAAAUUAAAAUAAAAGGAGAGAUGAAAGAAUUGGACUCAAAUGAGCUUUUAUAUGCCAAAUUGAGCGAUUAGAAAAUAAAAUCAAAUCCGAAAACCUCAAAUUGAACCUCAACUUCUCAAAUCAAAUACCAACGACCAAACUGAGCCUAAUUCAAUUUUUUUGGCGAGAAUCAGUAUCCGCCGUCAACCCAAGCCCGACUCAUAGUGCUGUCAAGAGACAUGUACACUACCACCACUGAUUUUGGUAGCUGUUUUGGUAUUUCCGAUGGAUUCCCGAUGUUAUUCUGACAAUUUUGAGUGAAAAACAGGGACGGGAGAAAAACUGAUUUAUUGUUGUUGCUUUGCCGGAGCUCCGGCGAGCUCUAGCAGUGACAGAAAUUAGGGAAGGAUCAAAUUUUGUGGUUGGAACGUCUUUCGGCGAGAAUUCGCCAAAAAGUGUUCGAUUCACCGACUGCUCUAUCCUUUCACUCGCCUUUCCUCUCUGUUUUCUCUCUUUCAUUCUCUCUCUUUUUCUCGCUCAAUCUCUCCCUCAAUUCACUGUUUUUCCUUCGAUCUCCUUUUCUCCAUUCUCUCGAUCAGCUCUCACCUCUCUCGGUCACUAAUGUGUGUGUAUGGGUAUUCCAGUGAGGUGUGGUUAUGUGUAUGUGUGUGUGAAUGAGUGUGUUGUGUGAAUAUUUUUUGUGAGGUUUGUGUGUAUGUGUAUAUUGAUGGGUGUGUGAGUGAUCUGUGUUCUCUGUUGAUAAAUUUGAGUGUGUUUAUAUAUAGCUGUGAAUUGUUGAGUGGAAAAAACGAGC